UCAAUUUAUAUGCUAUAUGUCCAGUAGGUGGCUCUGCCUGUGUGUUAAUAUUAGGCAUAUGUGUGUGAACAUUGUGUUCACACACAAGUAGAGUCACCUACUGGAUAAAACAUGUAAUUGA